rnacentral:pre_miRNA from 1 species
UGAAAAAAUGUUUUUCAUAAAAGUGCUUUUACAAAAGCACUUUAUUGAAAGUACUUCGUAAAAGUGCUUUUGUUAAAGCACUUUUAGAAA